GUGAGUAGCUGUCCACUGUUGUGGCCUGAUAUGGUUUGGCUCUGUGUCCCCACCCAAAUCUCACCUGGAAUUGUAAUAAUACCCAUGUGUCAAGGGCGGGACCAGGUGGAGAUAACUGAAUCAUGAGAACAAUUUCCCACAUGCUGUUGUCAUGAUAGUGAGUGAGUUCUCACGAGAUCUGAUGGUUUUAUAAGGGGCUUUCUGCUUUGCUUGACACUCAUUCUCUCUCCUGCCAUCCUGUGAAGAGGUGCCUUCCACUGUGCUUAUAAGUUUCCUAAGGCCUCCCACCCCCAGCCAUGUGGAACUUCUGUGAUUAUCCAUUGCAUUUUCUCCUAGGUCCGGUGGAGAUGGUGGUGGUGAGAUGCAGGGAGAUGGAGAGAAAAAUGGGAGCACCACCUUUCUUUACAAAGCCAAAAGCUACAUCCCCAUUGACCUAGAUGUCAUAAGAGUUUUUUUUCCCCAAAGGGCACCAUGAUGGAGAAUCGGCUUUCCCAAGGACACACAUACCUUUGUCACACCAAGCACCACCUUGUCCUCAGACUGUUCUUGUACUGGCUUUGUUUACAAGCCAGAUUUUUUUUAAAAUGAGAAAAAUCAAAUGUUCACUUAAGAAGUGAAAUUUGAAUAAAAUUACAGUUUCAGGCAAAGCCUAUAUUAUUUUUAAAAUCAGCGAAUAAAGCAAGGGAUAUUAAAUCAUGAUCUUCACCU
rnacentral:lncRNA from 1 species